rfam:Ailuropoda melanoleuca scaffold157_60, whole genome shotgun sequence.
GCCUGGCUGGCUCAGUCGGUAAAGCAUGCAACUCUUGAUCUCAGGUUCGUGAGUUCAAGCCCCACGUUGGGCA